rnacentral:rRNA from 1 species
GAUGAACGCUGGCGGCGUGCUUAACACAUGCAAGUCGAACGGAAAGGCUCCUGCUUGCAGGGGUACUCGAGUGGCGAACGGGUGAGUAACACGUGGGUGAUCUGCCCUGCACUUCGGGAUAAGCCUGGGAAACUGGGUCUAAUACCGGAUAGGACGAUGGUUUGGAUGCCAUUGUGGAAAGUUUUUUCGGUGUGGGAUGAGCUCGCGGCCUAUCAGCCUGUUGGUGGGGUAAUGGCCUACCAAGGCGUCGACGGGUAGCCGGCCUGAGAGGGUGUACGGCCACAUUGGGACUGAGAUACGGCCCAGACUCCUACGGGAGGCAGCAGUGGGGAAUAUUGCACAAUGGGCGCAAGCCUGAUGCAGCGACGCCGCGUGGGGGAUGACGGCCUUCGGGUUGUAAACUCCUUUCGCUAGGGACGAAGCGCAAGUGACGGUACCUGGAGAAGAAGCACCGGCUAACUACGUG